GGCCAGACUCCUACGGGAGGCAGCAGUGGGGAAUAUUGCACAAUGGGGGAAGCCCUGAUGCAGCAACGCCGCGUGAGUGAAGAAGUAUUUCGGUAUGUAAAGCUCUAUCAGCAGGGAAGAAAAUGACGGUACCUGAGUAAGAAGCCCCGGCUAACUACGUGCCAGCAGCCGCGGUAAUACGUAGGGGGCAAGCGUUAUCCGGAUUUACUGGGUGUAAAGGGAGCGUAGACGGUGCAGCAAGUCUGAUGUGAAAGGUCGGGGCCCAACCCCGGGACUGCAUUGGAAACUGUAAAGCUGGAGUGCAGGAGAGGUAAGCGGAAUUCCUAGUGUAGCGGUGAAAUGCGUAGAUAUUAGGAGGAACACCAGUGGCGAAGGCGGCUUACUGGACUGCAACUGACGUUGAGGCUCGAAAGCGUGGGGAGCAAACAGGAUUAGAUACCCGCGUA
rnacentral:rRNA from 1 species